UUGAAUUCGGCAGCACAUAUACUAAAAUUGGAACGAUACGGAGAAGAUUAGCAUGGCCCCUGCGCAUGGAUGACAUGCAAAUUCGUGAAGCGUUCUGUAUUUUU
rnacentral:snRNA from 1 species